GUGUGUGGUGUAGUGGUUCGAAUGUUGGACUAUGUUUCUGGAGGCCAGGGUUCAAAUCCCCACUCAGCA